rnacentral:rRNA from 1 species
GCAGCAGGCGCGCAAAUUACCCACUCCCAGCUCGGGGAGGUAGUGACGAAAAAUAACGAUACGGGACUCAUCCGAGGCCCCGUAAUCGGAAUGAGUACACUUUAAAUCCUUUAACGAGGAUCAAUUGGAGGGCAAGUCUGGUGCCAGCAGCCGCGGUAAUUCCAGCUCCAAUAGCGUAUAUUAAAGUUGUUGCGGUUAAAAAGCUCGUAGUCGAACUUGUGUCCCGCGCCGUCCGGUUCAUCGUUCGCGGUGUUAACUGGCGUUUCGCGGGACGUCCUGCCGGAGGGUCGUUCGCGAGAGCGGCCCGACUGACCCCGCCGCGUUGCUCUUCAUUGAGUGUCGAGGUGGGCCGGCACCUUUACUUUGAACAAACUAAGGUGCUUAAAGCAGGCUGAAAUUUUGCCCGAAUAUUUUAUGCAUGGAAUAAUGAAACAGGACCUCGAUUCUAUUUUGUUGGUUUUCGGAACCUCGAGGUAAUGAUUAACAGGAACGGAUGGGGGCAUUCGUAUUGCGACGUUAGAGGUGAAAUUCUUGGAUCGUCGCAAGACGGACAGAAGCGAAAGCAUUUGCCAAAAACGUUUUCAUUGAUCAAGAACGAAAGUUAGAGGUUCGAAGGCGAUCAGAUACCGCCCUAGUUCUAACCAUAAACUAUGCCAGCUAGCGAUCCGCCGACGUUCCUCCGAUGACUCGGCGGGCAGCUUCCGGGAAACCAAAGCUUUUGGGUUCCGGGGGAAGUAUGGUUGCAAAGCUGAAACUUAAAGGAAUUGACGGAAGGGCACCACCAGGAGUGGAGCCUGCGGCUUAAUUUGACUCAACACGGGAAACCUCACCAGGCCCGGACACCGGAAGGAUUGACAGAUUGAGAGCUCUUUCUUGAUUCGGUGGGUGGUGGUGCAUGGCCGU